GGGACACGUGGUAUCCUGUCUGAAUAUGGGGGGACCAUCCUCCAAGGCUAAAUACUCCUGACUGACCGAUAGUGAACCAGUACCGUGAGGGAAAGGCGAAAAGAACCCCGGCGAGGGGAGUGAAAAAGAACCUGAAACCGUGUACGUACAAGCAGUGGGAGCACGCUUAGGCGUGUGACUGCGUACCUUUUGUAUAAUGGGUCAGCGACUUAUAUUCUGUAGCAAGGUUAACCGAAUAGGGGAGCCGAAGGGAAACCGAGUCUUAACUGGGCGUUAAGUUGCAGGGUAUAGACCCGAAACCCGGUGAUCUAGCCAUGGGCAGGUUGAAGGUUGGGUAACACUAACUGGAGGACCGAACCGACUAAUGUUGAAAAAUUAGCGGAUGACUUGUGGCUGGGGGUGAAAGGCCAAUCAAACCGGGAGAUAGCUGGUUCUCCCCGAAAGCUAUUUAGGUAGCGCCUCGUGAAUUCAUCUCCGGGGGUAGAGCACUGUUUCGGCAAGGGGGUCAUCCCGACUUACCAACCCGAUGCAAACUGCGAAUACCGGAGAAUGUUAUCACGGGAGACACACGGCGGGUGCUAACGUCCGUCGUGAAGAGGGAAACAACCCAGACCGCCAGCUAAGGUCCCAAAGUCAUGGUUAAGUGGGAAACGAUGUGGGAAGGCCCAGACAGCCAGGAUGUUGGCUUAGAAGCAGCCAUCAUUUAAAGAAAGCGUAAUAGCUCACUGGUCGAGUCGGCCUGCGCGGAAGAUGUAACGGGGCUAAACCAUGCACCGAAGCUGCGGCAGCGACGCUUAUGCGUUGUUGGGUAGGGGAGCGUUCUGUAAGCCUGCGAAGGUGUGCUGUGAGGCAUGCUGGAGGUAUCAGAAGUGCGAAUGCUGACAUAAGUAACGAUAAAGCGGGUGAAAAGCCCGCUCGCCGGAAGACCAAGGGUUCCUGUCCAACGUUAAUCGGGGCAGGGUGAGUCGACCCCUAAGGCGAGGCCGAAAGGCGUAGUCGAUGGGAAACAGGUUAAUAUUCCUGUACUUGGUGUUACUGCGAAGGGGGGACGGAGAAGGCUAUGUUGGCCGGGCGACGGUUGUCCCGGUUUAAGCGUGUAGGCUGGUUUUCCAGGCAAAUCCGGAAAAUCAAGGCUGAGGCGUGAUGACGAGGCACUACGGUGCUGAAGCAACAAAUGCCCUGCUUCCAGGAAAAGCCUC
rnacentral:rRNA from 1 species